GGUCGGUGAUGAUUGGUAAAAGGUCUGAUUGCACUUGAUAUCACAGUCCCUGCUCUGCCCUCAACUCCCAGCAGCCCAUUUUUUGGCCUCCUUUCACAUUUAAGUCAUGUGUAUUGGACAGUGGAGCGGCUGAUAAUUUGGGAUCCUGUCAGCAUGUGCUUCCGAGAGUGCGCGAAUCACAGCUGACGCGUAUCCGACAGAACCAGGCCCAGAAGGAGAGUAACGAGCGGCAGCCCUGGGUGUGAUGGUGCAUGAUCUCAAGUUUUCAAUCUGAGACC